rnacentral:lncRNA from 1 species
GUUUGGUAGUAACUCCUGCAUUCAUUCUCCUUCCUGCCGCCUUGUGAAGAAAGUACCUUGCUUCCUCUUCACCUUCUGCCAUGAUUGUAAGUUUCCUGAGGCCUCCUCAACCAUGCUGAACUGCAGAACACUGAGAAGAAGGCAAAUACAAUGCUAGAGAAUAAAUCAUUUCUCGUGAAUAUUUUCCAAAUAGGAGAAAAUGACAGUAAUUUGAAUUUAUUUUAAUACUGUAUACAAAAAUGUUAUGUAUAGAAGAUUAUGCUAAG